rnacentral:rRNA from 1 species
AAGUCGAGCGAACGGACGAGAAGCUUGCUUCUCUGAUGUUAGCGGCGGACGGGUGAGUAACACGUGGAUAACCUACCUAUAAGACUGGGAUAACUUCGGGAAACCGGAGCUAAUACCGGAUAAUAUUUUGAACCGCAUGGUUCAAAAGUGAAAGACGGUCUUGCUGUCACUUAUAGAUGGAUCCGCGCUGCAUUAGCUAGUUGGUAAGGUAACGGCUUACCAAGGCAACGAUGCAUAGCCGACCUGAGAGGGUGAUCGGCCACACUGGAACUGAGACACGGUCCAGACUCCUACGGGAGGCAGCAGUAGGGAAUCUUCCGCAAUGGGCGAAAGCCUGACGGAGCAACGCCGCGUGAGUGAUGAAGGUCUUCGGAUCGUAAAACUCUGUUAUUAGGGAAGAACAUAUGUGUAAGUAACUGUGCACAUCUUGACGGUACCUAAUCAGAAAGCCACGGCUAACUACGUGCCAGCAGCCGCGGUAAUACGUAGGUGGCAAGCGUUAUCCGGAAUUAUUGGGCGUAAAGCGCGCGUAGGCGGUUUUUUAAGUCUGGUGUGAAAGCCCACGGCUCAACCGUGGAGGGUCAUUGGAAACUGGAAAACUUGAGUGCAGAAGAGGAAAGUGGAAUUCCAUGUGUAGCGGUGAAAUGCGCAGAGAUAUGGAGGAACACCAGUGGCGAAGGCGACUUUCUGGUCUGUAACUGACGCUGAUGUGCGAAAGCGUGGGGAUCAAACAGGAU